CUCAGCAGUCGUUGUGCAGGCACUUUGGUGACUCUAGAUAACCUCGGGCCGAUCGCACGUCCCCGUGACAACGACGACGCAUUCGGAUGUCUGCCCUAUCAAAUUUCGAUGGUACUUUCUGUGCCUACCAUGGUGACCACGGGUAACGGAGAUUCAGGGUUCGAUUCCGGAGAGGGAGUCUGAGAAACGGCUACCACAUCCAAGGAAGGCAGCAGGCGCGCAAAUUACCCACUUCCGACGUGGGGAGGUAGUGAUG
rnacentral:rRNA from 1 species